UACGGAGGGAGCUAGCGUUGUCCGGAAUCACUGGGCGUAAAGCGCACGUAGGCGGGACGGUGCGUCGGUGCUGAAAGCGCCAGGCUUAACCUGGCGAGGCGUGCCGAUACGACCGACCUCGAGGCAGACAGAGGGUGGCGGAAUUCCGGGUGUAGUGGUGAAAUGCGUAGAGAUCCGGAGGAACGCCGGUGGCGCAAGCGGCCACCUGGGUCUGACCUGACGCUGAGGUGCGAAAGCGUGGGGAGCAAACCGG
rnacentral:rRNA from 1 species